CCUACGGGUGGCUGCAGUGAGUAAUAUUGGUCAAUGGACGAGAGUCUGAACCAGCCAAGUAGCGUGAAGGAUGACUGCCCUAUGGGUUGUAAACUUCUUUUAUAUGGGAAUAAAAUGUUCCACGUGUGGGAUUUUGUAUGUACCAUAUGAAUAAGCAUCGGCUAACUCCGUGCCAGCAGCCGCGGUAAUACGGAGGAUCCGAGCGUUAUCCGGAUUUAUUGGGGUUAAAGGGCGCGUAGGUGGGUUGUUAAGUACGUGGUGAAAGUUUGCGGCUCAAACGUAAAAUUGCAGUUGAAACUGGCAGUCUUGAGUACAGUAGAGGUAGGCGGAAUUCGUGGUGUAGCGGUGAAAUGCUUAGAUAUCACGAAGAACUCCGAUUGCGAAGGCAGUUCACUGGACUGCAACUGACACUGAGGCUCGAAAGUGUGGGUAUCAAACAGGAUUAGAUACCCCGGUAGUC
rnacentral:rRNA from 1 species